AACCAUCCAAUAAAUUCUCUUUUAUCGAUUGAUUAUGGUUCUAAGGACUUCAUCAUAAUUUAGGAGUUCAUUUAAGGAAGAUAGAACUUUUAUGAUGAAUCUGCCAAAUAACUAUUAUUACUAGAUAAUUCAUAUACUAAUUUCAAUCAUCUACCACUUAGAUGAUUGGCUUUAGGACAUAUUUUCUAACACCUACCUAUAGAUGCACAAAGAUUGGUCGAGCUAUACUCGGGUCCGAAUGUAAUUUGUGUGGAUUCUAGUAUUCGCUAAGGGAUUAAAGUAAUUUCUCGAAUUGGAGGUAGAGCUACUAAUUUGUAUAAAAUAGUUGGAGAAUCUUUAGAUUAAAAUUUAAAUCUUUAGACUUAAUUAAUUCAUAUACUAAUUAG
rnacentral:lncRNA from 1 species